AUUGAACGCUGGCGGCAGGCCUAACACAUGCAAGUCGAACGGUAACAGGAAGCAGCUUGCUGCUUUGCUGACGAGUGGCGGACGGGUGAGUAAUGUCUGGGAAACUGCCUGAUGGAGGGGGAUAACUACUGGAAACGGUAGCUAAUACCGCAUAACGUCGCAAGACCAAAGAGGGGGACCUUCGGGCCUCUUGCCAUCGGAUGUGCCCAGAUGGGAUUAGCUAGUAGGUGGGGUAACGGCUCACCUAGGCGACGAUCCCUAGCUGGUCUGAGAGGAUGACCAGCCACACUGGAACUGAGACACGGUCCAGACUCCUACGGGAGGCAGCAGUGGGGAAUAUUGCACGAUGGGCGCAAGCCUGAUGCAGCCAUGCCGCGUGUAUGAAGAAGGCCUUCGGGUUGUAAAGUACUUUCAGCGGGGAGGAAGGGAGUAAAGUUAAUACCUUUGCUCAUUGACGUUACCCGCAGAAGAAGCACCGGCUAACUACGUG
rnacentral:rRNA from 1 species